rnacentral:siRNA from 1 species
ACAUGUUGCCGACUAUGUGUAUG